GAUGAACGCUAGCUACAGGCUUAACACAUGCAAGUCGCGGGGCAGCAUGGGGGUUGCUUGCAAUCCCCGAUGGCGACCGGCGCACGGGUGAGUAACGCGUAUCCAACCUGCCCUUCACCACGGGAUAACCCGGCGAAAGUCGGACUAAUACCGUAUGUUGUCCAUUGACGGCAUCCGAUUUGGACGAAAGGCUUGGCGGUGGGGGGUGGGGAUGCGUCCGAUUAGCCAGACGGCGGGGUAACGGCCCACCGUGGCUACGAUCGGUAGGGGUUCUGAGAGGAAGGUCCCCCACAAUGGAACUGAGACACGGUCCAGACGCCUACGGGAGGCAGCAGUGAGGAAUAUUGGUCAAUGGGCGUAAGCCUGAACCAGCCAAGUAGCGUGCAGGAUGACGGCCCUAUGGGUGGUAAACUGCUUUUAUGCGGGGAUAAAGUGGCCCACGUGUGGGCUUUUGCAGGUACCGCAUGAAUAAGGACCGGCUAAUUCCGUG
rnacentral:rRNA from 1 species